AGUGAACGCUGGCGGCGUGCCUAAUACAUGCAAGUCGAACGGAGUGGCGCGCGGGUGUGUAAUGUAUAGCUAAUCUGCCCUACACUAGAGGACAACAGUUGGAAACGACUGCUAAUACUCUAUAGUGUAGGAUGAGGCUAUAUUGUAUCAGCUAGUUGGUGAGGUAAUGGCUCACCAAGGCUAUGACGCAUAACUGGUCUGAGAGGAUGAGCAGUCACACCUGAAGUGGGACACAGUCGAGACUCCUACGGGAGGGAGGGGUAUGGGAUAUUGCUCAAUGGGGGAAACGCUGAAGCAGCUACGCCGCGUGGAGUAGGUCACUUUUCGAAGCGUAAAGUACUUUUGUUAGGGAAGCGGUACCUAACGAAUAAGCACCGGCUAACUCCGUGCCAGCAGCCGCGGUAAUUC
rnacentral:rRNA from 1 species